rnacentral:lncRNA from 1 species
AUGGCAAAUUUGGAGGUGACUGGGCUUUGGCAUGAUCGUUCUUUGAGUUCGAAGCCGGUCGUGUUCUUGAGAAGACAAGGCUAUGACGGUGCACCGGUUAGGAAGGACCUUGGCCAACUUUUAUGUGGAUCACAAUUAGAGGACUUCUACUUUGGAUUCUCGUAGAGAUCACCAAUAUGUCACUUUUUUAUUUUGAUAAAAGUAUAAAAUUCUAUCUCUUUUGCAUGCUUAUUUUGUUUUGAUCGACUUCGGCAAGGUGAUUCUAGGGUUUGGGCUCGGCUCAAUAGUUUUAAUAGUUAAAG